GCCCUCUCAGGGUCGCACCUGGAGAGUUUCCAGUACUCUACCAGUCUCGGCUAUGGGAGGAAGAGUCAAGCAGGCCUACCCAUUCCAUUCCUAGCUCGGGCAGUGGCUGGCGAAUGGAAGGCGAUCAGCUACAGGU